rnacentral:rRNA from 1 species
GACGAACGCUGGCGGCGUGCCUAAUACAUGCAAGUAGAACGCUGAAGAGAGGAGCUUGCUCUUCUUGGAUGAGUUGCGCACGGGUGAGUAACGCGUAGGUAACCUGCCUUGUAGCGGGGGAUAACUAUUGGAAACGAUAGCUAAUACCGCAUAACAAUGGAUGACACAUGUCAUUUAUUUGAAAGGGGCAAUUGCUCCACUACAAGAUGGACCUGCGUUGUAUUAGCUAGUAGGUGAGGUAAUGGCUCACCUAGGCGACGAUACAUAGCCGACCUGAGAGGGUGAUCGGCCACACUGGGACUGAGACACGGCCCAGACUCCUACGGGAGGCAGCAGUAGGGAAGCUUCGGCAAUGGGGGCAACCCUGACCGAGCAACGCCGCGGGAGUGAAGAAGGUUUUCGGAUCGUAAAGUUCUGUUGUAAGUCAAGAACGGGUGUGAGAGUGGAAAGUUCACACUGUGACGGGAGCUUACCAGAAAGGGACGGCUAACUACGUG